rnacentral:rRNA from 1 species
GCUGGCGGCGUGCUUAACACAUGCAAGUCGAACGAUGAACCCGGAGCUUGCUCUGGGGGAUUAGUGGCGAACGGGUGAGUAACACGUGAGUAACCUGCCCUUGACUCUGGGAUAACCUCCGGAAACGGAAGCUAAUACCGGAUAUGACGCACGGAGGCAUCUCCUGUGCGUGGAAAGAACUUCGGUCAAGGAUGGACUCGCGGCCUAUCAGGUAGUUGGUGAGGUAACGGCCCACCAAGCCUACGACGGGUAGCCGGCCUGAGAGGGUGACCGGCCACACUGGGACUGAGACACGGCCCAGACUCCUACGGGAGGCAGCAGUGGGGAAUAUUGCACAAUGGGCGCAAGCCUGAUGCAGCAACGCCGCGUGAGGGACGACGGCCUUCGGGUUGUAAACCUCUUUUAGUAGGGAAGAAGCGAAAGUGACGGUACCUGCAGAAAAAGCACCGGCUAACUACGUGCCAGCAGCCGCGGUAAUACGUAGGGUGCAAGCGUUGUCCGG